GACGAACGCUGGCGGCGUGCUUAACACAUGCAAGUCGAACGGAAAGGCCCUGCUUUUGUGGGGUGCUCGAGUGGCGAACGGGUGAGUAACACGUGAGUAACCUGCCCUUGACUUUGGGAUAACUUCAGGAAACUGGGGCUAAUACCGGAUAGGAGCUCCUGCUGCAUGGUGGGGGUUGGAAAGUUUCGGCGGUUGGGGAUGGACUCGCGGCUUAUCAGCUUGUUGGUGGGGUAGUGGCUUACCAAGGCUUUGACGGGUAGCCGGCCUGAGAGGGUGACCGGCAACACGGGGUCGGGGAGACGGCGCAGACGGCUAGGGGAGGAAGCGGGGGGGAGAGUGGCGCAAGGGGCGGAAUCGUGAGGCAGGAGGGCGCGGGGGGGGAUGGCGGCGGUUGGGGUGUAAAGCGAGUCAGCCUGUAGGGAAGGGGGAGUGCGGGGAAGGGAAAAAAAACAAGCGGCAAACUACGUGCCAGCAGCCGGGUAAAAAUAGAGGAGCAAACGUCUGAAC
rnacentral:rRNA from 1 species